GCAUGGUUUGCCUGGAAUCAGUUAUAACAGAUUGCGUUAUAAAUUCUCCAGUCAUGAUGGUCCAGUAUAUGACUUGUAUCUAUAAUGUCAUGGUUUAUUUUCUAUGGUAGCCUGAUUGGUCUUUAAGUGUUCCGGAUAGAUAUAGUAGUAGGCUGUCCUCUCUUCUGGUUGGUUUCAGAACAGCCAAAGAGCUCUCAGACCACACCCACUCCUGGAGAAAGAAGAGGGAAGAAUGCCAACAGCACUGACCUGUGUGGUGAUGCCAUUGAUACAGGAGGCCAGGGUGCAUUGGAAGACACCUGUGCGUGAGCAGCACGAGCCAGCUAGCACUCUGGCAGUGGAGCCAACGCCUCAGCGGGAACCCGACUUGAUCUCCUCUAGAAACAUUGCCUAGGAGCCCAAAACACAGCCACCCUGACAGAAAGGAAGAGAUACACUGCCAAUAGUGGAGUUGACUUACGUCAUGUGCUGAAGACCCUUUCAUUCCCUUAAUAUGCUGGUGAGUGAGAAUAUUCUGUACCCUUUCGUAGCC
rnacentral:lncRNA from 1 species